GAUCCUACGGGGCGCAGCAGUAGGGAAUCUUCGGCAAUGGACGAAAGUCUGACCGAGCAACGCUGCGUGAGUGAAGAAGGUUUUCGGAUCGUAAAACUCUGUUGGUAGAGAAGAACGUUGGUGAGAGUGGAAAGCUCAUCAAGUGACGGUAACUACCCAGAAAGGGACGGCUAACUACGUGCCAGCAGCCGCGGUAAUACGUAGGUCCCGAGCGUUGUCCGGAUUUAUUGGGCGUAAAGGGUGCGUAGGCGGCUUGGCAAGUCAGUAGUGAAAUCCAUGGGCUUAACCCAUGAACUGCUAUUGAA
rnacentral:rRNA from 1 species